rnacentral:rRNA from 1 species
UACAGAGGUCUCAAGCGUUGUUCGGAUUCAUUGGGCGUAAAGGGUGUGUAGGUGGCGCCGUAAGUGGGGUGUGAAAUUUCGAGGCUUAGCCUCGAAACUGCAUUCCAUACUGCGGUGCUUGAGGACUGGAGAGGAGACUGGAAUUUACGGUGUAGCGGUGAAAUGCGUAGAUAUCGUGAGGAAGACCAGUGGCGAAGGCGGGUCUCUGGACAGUUCCUGACGCUGAGGCACGAAAGCGAGGGGAGCAAACGGG